rnacentral:tRNA from 1 species
ACCAGGGUAGCUCAGUCGGUUAGAGCGAGGGAAUCAUAACCCCUAGGCCGGCGGUUCGAUCCCGCCCCCUGGUA